rnacentral:snRNA from 1 species
GUGCUCACUUUGGCAGCACAUAUACUUUAAAAAAAAAAGGAACGAUACGGAGAAGAUUAGCACGGCCCCUGUGCAAGGAUGACACGCAAAUUCGUGAAGAAUUCCAUAUUAAA